rnacentral:lncRNA from 1 species
AGAUGGAGAGUCGAACUCAGCAUCUAUCCUGUUGUUUUCUUUCAAUCCUCUACCAGAGUCUCACUAUGCAGAGGAGGCAAUGAGUAUAUGCUUACAGUUGAGCUUCCACCCCUAAUCUCUUUCAGUGUAUCCAGUGCCGAUGUAGUUAGUUUGAUGAAAAUGUUUUCCAUAUUUUGAAUCUCAGAAAGUUCUUUGGGGACAUGCUCAAAUGUCUCUUUAGUUCCGUUUGCAGAUGUGGAGCCACGUGUAACUUCCUCAAAAACCUCACUGGUUGAUAAGGAUUGACCUAGAGGCCCACUUUUGGGGAAAAUAAUACUUAGCAUCAG